CUCACCCGCGGGUGGGCCGUCCGAGGGGCCGUCCCCCAGGUGAACUUCGGCAACUUGCUGACCCCACUCGGCAGUCAGAGCUGCCUUGUCUGGCUCUGCCCUUAUGACUCACUGAGGGAGCAGAGCACAGGGAUGGGUGCACAGGAGCCGCGAGGUUGAUGGAUGGAGGGCUUCAUGGAGGAGGCGACUCUGGGCCCAGCUGAGCAAGUGGGGGAACAUGGGCAUCUAGAGGGAGGACCGUGCUGACGGGCGGCUCGGGGAGACCGCAGGGGUGGCCGAUGGAGAGAUGUCCGCCCACAGUGAAGAGUCCGAGGGCCUGUGGGGGGACCAGGGGGCCUUCACGGGGCCUCGUGAGGGGAAGGACGUGACCGGACCUUGUUUCCCAACCAGAUCAGAUGGUCUCUCUGGGACUCGAGGAGCACCUCUGGGACCAGGGAGCACAGCUUGCCCUCAGGCCAGAGCAACCUCCCGACCAGGGUCCCAGCAUCCGCGCCUGCCCCCUGGCCCGCCCAGUGCAGCAGAGCCAUCUCAGGUCUCCGUCCCAGGAGUAAGCCAAGACCUGCUCUGCACACGUGUCCCUUUGGGCUUCAUAGUGGCUAUGUGGAGGCACCUUCAUGGGGCCCCUGACCCAGGCUCGGUGACCCGCAGGUGCGCUGAAUGUUACGGGCCUGGAGCAGAAGCAUGGACCUGGAAGCAGCCCGACAGUCAUGGGCGCCCGUCCCCUGCGGGGUCACGAGGGCCAUCUGAGCUCCACUUCGGCUCAUCACAGUGUCAGACAGGAGCUGGAAACCUGAAGACCUUCCAGCCAAGAGUCAAGUGCCUGACCCGGUGCAGGCAGGUAGGACACCUGGCGGGGCUGGGGCGGGGUACUGAGGUUGGUACCAGGGAAGCCUUUUCCACCCCAGGCCAGAUGGCCACAGGGAGCGGGCAGUGACAGCCCAGCAGUCCCAUGUGGAGACAGCGCCCACCGCACAGCAGGGAGGAGACGGAGGACACGUGCCCCGAACUCACUUGCCGCCUCCUGCCGCCUCCUCCUGGGUCUCCCAUGGGCCUCGCCUGGCUGGCUCAGGGCCGGUGGACAGAGGAGGUGGGGGGCUGGGGGGAGGGGUGGACGGACGCCGCCCAUGCUGCUGCCUCGGUGGGAAGAUGGGUUUGCCCUGCCAGCCUCACCGGUCACUACUGGCAUCCUGAACGAUUACAGAUGGAAGGGGCCCUGGGCACGCCUGACCUUGGUCCUCUUCCUCCCUAUGCUCCACCCCCACCCCAGCCAGGGGCUGAGUCUGUGCAGGGGGGCCAGAGGCAUUUCCUCAGCUGGAGACGCCCAGAGCACGGCCCUGUCUCGGCUGGUCCGGGGCUGUCGGAGCAACCUCGUCGGAGGGCUGUGAGGUCCGCGUGCAUCCCCUCCCUGUCCCUGCUCGUGCGUUUAUCGAGGGGCCCGGCUCCUGCUCUGCAGCUGGGCCUGGGGGACCAGUCACGUGCUCAAGAGACACAGUGCUGUGUCUGCACCGGAAGUGAGCCCCCCCCGCCCCUGGACUGGCAGCCCCAGUCCCACCUUCUGCUUCUGUCCUGAACUGUGGUCUGGUGGAGUCAUUACACCAAAACAUAUGUCCAGGUCCCACCCCCAGAACAUGUGUCCUUAUAAUCGAAGAGGAGACACACAGACAGAGGAGACACCACGUGAAGACAGGCAGAGACCGGAGGGACGCCCGGGGCCACCGGAAGCUGGCAGCAGCAGGAAGGACCCUCCUCUAGGGCCACGAGGGAGCGCGGCCCUGCCCACACCUUGGUUUCAGACUUCUGGCCUCCAGAGCUGUGAGGGGCUAGGCUUCCGCAGUGUGAGUAGCGUGGUCUGUGGUCCUUUGUUACCAUGGCCCCAGGGCUCAGGAGACCCUCUCGACAGACAGAAGCAGAAAAGGUGCUUGGGUACAGCCUUUUCCAAACAUGAGUAUCUGCCCCUGGCGGUUUUAAUCGGAUCACCAGAUCUGACAUAAAUGUAGGUAUUUUAAUACAUGAGAUGGGCGUCUUUUAAACAAGCUGUCAGGAAAAUGAAUUGCAGGAAGUUGAACGGGUGUGAACCUUGUCUAAGUGCCCUGCGAUUAUCUGGGUCUAGUGUGCGGGCAAGUGUGACGGGGGUGCCUCACAGGAGCCUCGCUGCUCCGGAAAAACCUCCUGCGGCUGGGGCACGCUUCCCGACCACCGACCCCCGCUCAAGCAUCUGUCCGGAAGCCUGCUAUAGCUGGCUCGUGCUUUCCCCAAUCUUCAGAGCCUCUGAGGGUGGAACGGGCCCCCUGGGACCUGUACCCUUCCCAGCCCCUGGCCUGGCAAGUGCCCCGCUCCCUCCUCAAACUGCACCCGGCACCAAGGCAGAGCAGGUGUCCCCCAGGUGGGCUCGAGUCCCCGGAGGACAGCUGGCUGCAGCCAACGGGCCUCGGGGCAGGGCAGAGCCUAGGGCCCAGGCAUUUGCCAGCCUGUGGGGGACAGAGGGGCCUCUGGGCUGACCACCUUCCUUCCUGCCUCACGUGGGCAUCACGGCAAGCACUGCACAGGACUGGCCAGCCCCAGCGGCUCGACGCCUUGCUCACACAGGCUCCUGUCUGCAUUGUCUCACCAUCCUGUCUCCUGCCCUGGACCCUGGUGCCUGUGCUCCUGGCCUGCUGUCUCGGGAAGACGGGCUGACCUCCUGGAGCCACCAGACAGCGAGCGUGCGCCAGAAGCUGGUUUUACAGACGUGUCAACACCGUUCGGUGGCUGGGCCUGCCCCCGCCCCCCGGGCCCCUCCCCGGAGUGGGGAAGAUAAAGCAGGGAGGUGACGGGGCUCCCCACACAGAGGACAGUCCAGAAGGGGGUCUCCAAGCUGCAUGGGCAGGACUGUCCCUGGGCUGGAAAGCUCCCUGCCCCCACUCGGUGCUCCUUCCCGGUCAGGGUUUCCAGGAGCAGCUGGUGCUGCAGAUCCAGAGAUCUUGGGACAGAUGUGAUCGCUUCUCCCUCAGCCCCAGGCAAUAAAUAGUGACCCUCGGCAGCUUCCGACCGCGCACAUCCUGUUGGGCCCGGGGCCUGAAGCAGAUGGACUUACACAUGGACAGUCUUUGAUUUUGACUCCGUACCAGCAAGUGCUGGAUGUCCCGGCGCACGGGGCUCCCGGGUGACACGACCCAGAUGCACUUCCACUCCCGCCGGACCCUCGCGAGCUGGAGGCUUCGCGGUCCUGCCAAACAGCGGCGAAAUUAGACUCCGGACAGCAGCGUCCCACGGCCUGCCGGGAGCAAUUACAACGUCGUCACUCCUGAAUAGGGACGAGUCCCAAACAGCCCAGGACUCUCGGAACUUCAGGAGGUUGAAAUGGUGUGGGUUUUUUUUUCUUUUUUAAUAGAGGAAGUGUUUUUAGUCAUAAGAGCACAAAACUCGCUGAAGAAUGCACUUAACCUUUAACUGUGUCAAGGGAGAGGUACUGAGCUCUACAGUAAAUUCACCUUUUAACAGACAAUGAGCUAAAAAUGUUUAAGUCCAAAUAAUGUCACUCCUUUUCAUAAGCUUCAGUAUAAGAUUUACUCAAGCACAGCGGCUAUCUUUGACUUCCCGUUUCUAGGGUAGCUCUGUUUCUUUGUUGGGUAUUCUGUUGCGACUUUGUUUUAAUAGUUCCUUUGAACCAGUCUUCUAUCAUAAACUGUCUCAGAUAUUUUUGAAAGUAGGCAGUGUUUAAAAUCCAGGGCUGACUCCCACUUGGGGUACUGGACUAGCUCUCCUGUCAUAAACAACUAUGGAAUUGUAAGUGCACCAUCCAGUUGUUCUCAGACACGGGACAAGCUACAGUGUAAGACCGCGGUGGCCGAGAGCGGGGAGACUCACGAGUGAGCCCCACCAUCACCUGUUUCUCUCCUUGAGGACGUUUUCCGGAUUGCAUCACUGGGAGCUGGGGUCUGGACACAGCAUGGCUAUCCCGGCGGAGGAGACAGAACUCAGAGACUGAGGCCACAGAGCAGUCUGAACAUGCAGAGAAAGCACUCGAAAGGGGGGCCCCUGUGGUGGGGGUCCUCAGAGCCUGUGAGGGGCUCUCCAUGGCCUCUGUGCUGGCUGGGCUGUGUACUCGGACUGAAACCUUGAUAGGCUUAUGGCCGGUGGCUGGCCAUAAUAUCUGGCAGGGCUGGAGGGCAGAGGCCUCAUGAACACGCCGAGUGUCCUGCUGAGAUGCCAGGAGGCCCACACCUGAGGAAUGAGCACUGUGCCCUAGAGGGGGGCCUACUCCAGACCCGCCUACGUUAGCCUCCAAACAAACCCCCAAAUCCACAGGGGACACUGAGCCCAGAGUUGAGUUGAGCCCAAGUUAGAAGGGCUCGGGCUUCCGUAAAGCUGCAUGGAUGAGGUGUAAGCCAGAUGAUGAGUCUGCAACCGAAAGGCCUAAAAUGCAGGAAUCGACACUCUUCAAAGGAAGAUAACAGAACGCAGAGUGUCUUCAAUGCCUCAUCUUCAACAUUCAGUAUAAACAAAAAAUUACUAGCUAUGCAAAGAAACAGGAAAAUGUGACCCAUUGAUAAGAAAAAAAAAAGCAAUCAAUUAAAACAGCCCUCCAGGUGAGCUAUGAGAAGUGGGAAAUAUCAAGUGGGAACGGGGACAAUGUGAAUUCUUAUCAGACUCUGUAACUUAAGGAUGCAAGUUUACAGCCCCAGAGCAGCCAUUACAAGGACAAAUACAGACAGGUAUGCCUAAAAAUGUUAGUCGAGGAAAUAAAAUGGAAUACCCUGGCUUCCCCAUCAGAGGACUAAGAAAAAGAUCUCUGGGGGCACCUGGGUGGCACAGCGGUUAAGUGUCUGCCUUCGGCUCAGGGCAUGAUCCCGGCAUUCUGGGAUCGAGCCCCACAUCAGGCUCCUCCGCUAUGAGCCUGCUUCUUC